rnacentral:lncRNA from 1 species
ACAACAUUAAGGGAAGAACUCAAUAAAGAGCAGAACCAAUCGAGCAAAGCCGACAAGCCCAUUACUGCAAUUUCCGACCAAGAACAUUUGGUUUAAAGCACGCAUAACACAAAAGCAUAUACAACACAUAGUCAGGCUAAGACUGAGACACAGCAAUUCAUAUAUUAAAUGCAAUUAGAAACUCAAAAGCAUAUAAGGUUUCCAAAAUAAGAGAGACGGAAGUCCAAGAAAUGAACCUGAGAUGUGCUCUUUCUUUUUGAAAAAAAACGAGUAAGAUUAGUGAGUACAAAGACACGCUCGGCCUGCCUGCGUGCGCAAUCCAGCGACGAAAUUUGAUUGAAAAAAACAAGCUAUGAAAUCAGGAACAAUAAUCGCGACCCUUCAACCUCAAACGACACACGAGAGCUCAAAUUCGAAUACUACCAAACUCUAUUCCUCAGGCGAAGUACAUUUUAUGAGACUAGAAAGUUAGAUUUGUGGCUGUUUGAGCGGCUCAGGCUUAGAGGUUGGGGGGUCGCUGGAAUUUUUGGGAUAGAGAAGCAGCGGCGAUGGUGCUGAGGCUGGGGUUGGCGGCGUAUUGGCCGGUGUUGAAAGGGUCGGCGGCGAUGGUGAUGGGGCUGGGGCUCUGCUCUUUUUUGGUUAUGGAGAAGAAGAGAUCGCUGAAGGUGGGGUCUUGUUUUUCACUGUUGCGGUGCCUCUUUUCGGUUUUUUCCGGGCGUUAUCUUUUUUAGUCCCCCCUUAUAGAUUAUAGGCGUUAGUUUUGUAGGUCAUUGGUUAGGUUAUUAAAGGGGAACUGGCUUGGGUUGUAUGGUAGUUGGGUAGGAAAAUUAUGGUUUGGACUGAUUUUGGCUUUAAG